rnacentral:rRNA from 1 species
UACGGGGGGGGCAAGCGUUGUUCGGAAUUACUGGGCGUAAAGGAGCGCGUGAGGCGGCCCUGUAAGUCCGCUGUGAAAGUCAAGGGCUCAACCCUUGGACUGCCGGUGGAUACGUGCUCAGCUGCGAGUCCGGAAGAGGAGUGUGGAAUUCCUGGUGUAGCGGUGAAAUGCGCAGAUAUCGAGGAGGAACACCAAUGGCGAAGGCAGCACUCUGGGACGGUACUGACGGCUGA